UUGUCUCUCUUGAGUGGAUCCUGAGUACGACGGAGCACGUGAAAUUCCGUCGGAAUCUGGGAGGACCAUCUCCUAAGGCUAAAUACUCUCUAGUGACCGAUAGUGAACCAGUACCGUGAGGGAAAGGUGAAAAGCACCCCGGAAGGGGAGUGAAAUAGAACCUGAAACCGUGUGCUUACAAGUAGUCAGAGCCCGUUAAUGGGUGAUGGCGUGCCUUUUGUAGAAUGAACCGGCGAGUUACGAUUUGAUGCAAGGUUAAGCAGUAAAUGUGGAGCCGUAGCGAAAGCGAGUCUGAAUAGGGCGUUUAGUAUUUGGUCGUAGACCCGAAACCAGGUGAUCUACCCUUGGUCAGGUUGAAGUUCAGGUAACACUGAAUGGAGGACCGAACCGACUUACGUUGAAAAGUGAGCGGAUGAACUGAGGGUAGCGGAGAAAUUCCAAUCGAACCUGGAGAUAGCUGGUUCUCUCCGAAAUAGCUUUAGGGCUAGCCUCAAGUGAUGAUUAUUGGAGGUAGAGCACUGUUUGGACGAGGGGCCCCUCUCGGGUUACCGAAUUCAGACAAACUCCGAAUGCCAAUUAAUUUAACUUGGGAGUCAGAACAUGGGUGAUAAGGUCCGUGUUCGAAAGGGAAACAGCCCAGACCACCAGCUAAGGUCCCAAAAUAUAUGUUAAGUGGAAAAGGAUGUGGCG
rnacentral:rRNA from 1 species